rnacentral:rRNA from 1 species
GAUGAACGCUGGCGGCGUGCCUAACACAUGCAAGUCGAACGGAGAUUACGGACGGAAGUUUUCGGAUGGAAGACUGUAAUUCUUAGUGGCGGACGGGUGAGUAACGCGUGGGCAACCUGCCCUAUACAGGGGGAUAGCAGCUGGAAACGGCUGGUAAGACCGCAUAAGUCGGCGAGACCGCAUGGUUUUGCCGGGAAAUGAGCAAUCAGGUAUAGGAUGGGCCCGCGUCCGAUUAGCCAGUUGUCAGGGUAAAAGCCUACCAAAGCAACGAUCGGUAGCCGGACUGAGAGGUCGGACGGCCACAUUGGGACUGAGACACGGCCCAAACUCCUACGGGAGGCAGCAGUGGGGGAUAUUGCACAAUGGAGGAAACUCUGAUGCAGCGACGCCGCGUGAGUGAAGAAGUAUUUCGGUAUGUAAAGCUCUAUCAGCAGGGAAGAUGAUGACGGUACCUGACUAAGAAGCCCCGGCUAACUACGUG